GGGGCAGCGAGGGGCCUGCGGGUUUCACCGCUGUUUUUUUCCUGUGUGUUUUUUUUUCUUUUUUUCCCCUCCGGCUCGGGUUAAACGCCAGAAGCGUGAGGUGGCGGCACAUGGCGUCGUGGCCCCUUCCCUGCGCGCUGCGGCGGCGUUUUCGGGACCUGCGUGUAAGCGUGCGGGCUCCGGUUUUCAGACUUUCAGGUCAUCUGUUCUGUCUGUGCCUCCCAGUGCUUCUGUUCUUAGACCUGUGAAAUGGUGAUGGUGGUGCUCACUCCUCACCGGUGGUCCCUCAAACACCAGCAAGGGAGCAGUGCUAUACAGGAGUUUACAGAUCCGGAGGCACUGCAAGAGAUUACAAGCUGCAAGAAACAGCAAAGAACUCAAAUGAGAAAACUAGGCAGAAGAUCUCAGAACAUGGGGCUUCUGAAUGCAUAUCCUGGGAAAAUGGUUGAAGAUGUUGAUCUAAAAGAAUUGGUUAAGCUCUGAAGACCUGUAUGCCGCUAUUAUUACUGAAAUAAUCCUAUCGUGGCAGUUUUGAAGAACUCUUCUCUUAAUGAAAUUUUGACAUUAACUUGAAUGAAGUAAACAGCACAAUUUUUUUCUCUUU